GAUGAACGCUGACAGAAUGCUUAACACAUGCAAGUCUACUUGAUCCUUCGGGUGAUAGUGGCGGACGGGUGAGUAACGCGUGAGCAACCUGCCUUUCAGUGGGGGACAACAGUUGGAAACGACUGCUAAUACCGCAUAAUGCAUUUAGGGGGCAUCCCCUGAAUGCCAAAGCUUUAUGUGCUGAAAGAUGGUCUCGCGUCUGAUUAGCUAGUUGGUGGGGUAACGGCCCACCAAGGCGGCGAUCAGUAGCCGGUCUGAGAGGAUGAACGGCCACAUUGGGACUGAGAUACGGCCCAG
rnacentral:rRNA from 1 species